rnacentral:rRNA from 1 species
CAGCCGCCGCGGUAAUACGUAGGGUGCAAGCGUUAAUCGGAAUCACUGGGCGUAAAGCGUGCGCAGGCGGUUUGUUAAGACAGAUGUGGAAUCCCCGGGCUCAACCUGGGAACUGCAUUUGUGACUGGCAAGCUAGAGUGUGGCAGAGGGGGGUGGAAUUCCGCGUGUAGCAGUGAAAUGCGUAGAUAUGCGGAGGAACACCGAUGGCGAAGGCAGCCCCCUGGGCCAACACUGACGCUCAUGCACGAAAGCGUGGGGAGCAAACAGGAUUAGAUACCCCUGUAGUCCCUGUCUCUUAUAC